UUAAAGCUCGAUCUUGAACAAUCUGAUAGUCGAGUAUUGAGUUUGGGAAAACUUCUAGAGCAAGUUCGUUCCCAGGCAAACAGAGAGAUUUAUGCCAGCAAACAAAAGUUGUAAAUUGUGUUAUAAUAUGUCUUUAAAAUAUAUUUUCGUUUGUUAA